rnacentral:rRNA from 1 species
UAAGGAAUAUUGCUCAAUGGGAGAAAUCCUGAAGCAGCAACGCCGCGUGGAGGAUGAAGGGUCUAUGACUUGUAAACUCCUGUAAAGAAGGAAAAAAUUCCCAUUUGAUGGGAGAUGAUGGUACUUCUGGAGUAAGCCCCGGCUAACUACGUGCCAGCAGCCGCGGUAAUACGUAGGGGGCAAGCGUUGUCCGGUUUUACUGGGUGUAAAGGGUGCUCAGGCGGAUUUGUAAGUCAGAGGUGAAAUCUUACAGCUUAACUGUGAAACUGCCUUUGAUACUGCAAGCCUAGAGUAUGGAAGAGAGUGAUGGAAUAUCUGGUGUAGCAGUGAAAUGCGUAGAUAUCAGAUAGAACACCAAUGGCGAAGGCAGUCACUUGGUCCAUUACUGACGCUAAAGCACGAAAGCGUGGGUAGCAAACA